rnacentral:rRNA from 1 species
AGGACGAACGCUGGUGGCGUGCUUAACACAUGCAAGUCAAGGGGGCCCAGCAAUGGGCAACCGGCGAACGGGUGCGUAACACGUGAGCAACCUACCGAACUGUGGGGGAUAGCCGGCCUAACGGCCGAGUAAUACCGCAUACGCUCUCAGUGAGGCAUUUCAUUGAGAGGAAACCUACGGGACAGAUCGAGGGGCUCGCGGCCUAUCAGCUAGUUGGCGAGGUAACGCUCACCAAGGCAACGACGGGUA